GACUACUGGGGUAUCUAAUCCUGUUUGCUCCCCACGCUUUCGUGCAUGAGCGUCAGUGUUAACCCAGGAAGCUGCCUUCGCCAUCGAUGUUCCUCCAUAUCUCUACGCAUUUCACUGCUACACAUGGAAUUCCACUUCCCUCUGUUACACUCUAGUCAUGUAGUUUCAAACGCAAUUCCCAGGUUAAGCCCGGGGAUUUCACAUCUGACUUACAUAACCGCCUGCGCACCCUUUACGCCCAGUAAUUCCGAUUAACGCUCGCACCCUACGUAUUACCGCGGCUGCUGGCACGUAGUUAGCCGGUGCUUCUUCUGUUGAUACCGUCAUUAAUUAUGAUUAUUAGUCACAAUCUUUUCUUCUCAACUGAAAGAGCUUUACAACCCGAAGGCCUUCUUCACUCACGCGGCAUUGCUGGAUCAGGGUUUCCCCCAUUGUCCAAAAUUCCCCACUGCAGCCUCCCGUAGG
rnacentral:rRNA from 1 species